GCGGGGGGGGAGAAACUCGAUCUAUAAGAUGAGAAGAGAGGAGGCGGAAUUGGGGCGUAGGCUAAAGAAGAAGUUAAGAGAGAGAGGAGAUCGUGUGUUGUCGAGAUUCCGGAGGUCUCGUUCUUGACUUAGCUGCCGUAGGAGGAGAUGAAGAAGGCCGGGGUCGUCGCCGCGUCGGUUGCCGCCGCAUCUUCGGCGGCCUUCGCCUCGGGCGCCGACCGCCCCGCCACCGCCCGCCCGUCCUCCACCCCCAUCGAGGGAUCGGGAGGUUCGAGGAAGGAGACCGGAUCGAGGAGGGGAGGGGAGGAGAAGUUCGCCCCGAGAUUCGAUGGUUUGAGGUUUAUCGAGACGCUCGUCACGGCGCACAGAUGACGCCCGUCGAUUCGUCCGUCGCCGCUACGCGUAUAGUUCUUGGUGUCAUCAUCUGUAUUUUUUUGGUUUUCUUUCCUCUCCUCUUCCUCUUUUAUUAGGAGGAAGAGAGACUAAUAUAGUUUUUAUGGGGAUUUAUCACAUGAUUGGUAGCGUGAGAUGGCUACAAGUUUUGGUAGUUACAGAGUGCGUGUAAUGAUCCCACUUGGAAUAUCUCUCGCUAUAUUCUGGUUAUUCAUGGUUGGAUUUUUUUCCUAUUUCAGAAAAA